GCCGAGGUGGCCCAGCCCGGAACGGCGCGAGCCUGGAGAGCUCGUGGUGCUUUGCACCUCGGGAGUUCAAAUCUCCCCCUCGGCG
rnacentral:tRNA from 1 species